UACGUAGGGUGCGAGCGUUAAUCGGAAUUACUGGGCGUAAAGCGUGCGCAGGCGGUGAGCUGUGUCCGAUGUGAAAGCCCCGGGCUUAACCUGGGAAUGGCAUUGGAAACUGGCUCGCUGGAGUGUGGCAGAGGGGGGUGGAAUUCCGCGUGUAGCAGUGAAAUGCGUAGAGAUGCGGAGGAACACCGAUGGCGAAGGCAGCCCCCUGGGCUAACACUGACGCUCAGGCACGAAAGCGUGGGGAGCAAACGGG
rnacentral:rRNA from 1 species